rnacentral:rRNA from 1 species
AUUGAACGCUGGCGGCAGGCCUAACACAUGCAAGUCGAGCGGAUGAAGGGAGCUUGCUCCUGGAUUCAUCGGCGGACGGGUGAGUAAUGCCUAGGAAUCUGCCUGGUAGUGGGGGAUAACGUCCGGAAACGGGCGCUAAUACCGCAUACGUCCUGAGGGAGAAAGUGGGGGAUCUUCGGACCUCACGCUAUCAGAUGAGCCUAGGUCGGAUUAGCUAGUUGGUGGGGUAAAGGCCUACCAAGGCGACGAUCCGUAACUGGUCUGAGAGGAUGAUCAGCCACACUGGAACUGAGACACGGUCCAGACUCCUACGGGAGGCAGCAGUGGGGAAUAUUGGACAAUGGGCGAAAGCCUGAUCCAGCCAUGCCGCGUGUGUGAAGAAGGUCUUCGGAUUGUAAAGCACUUUAAGUUGGGAGGAAGGGCAGUAAGUUAAUACCUUGCUGUUUUGACGUUACCAACAGAAUAAGCACCGGCUAACUUCGUG